rnacentral:miRNA from 10 species
UCACGUUGGUGCAAAAGAAAUUGCAGUUCUUGCCAUUACUUUCCAUGGCAAAAACUGCAAUUACUUUUGCACCAACUUGAUAG